rnacentral:lncRNA from 1 species
UCAAAGCUAUCAAAAUAUCCACUUGCAGAUUCUACAAAAAGAGUGUUUCAAAACUGCUCUAUCAAAAGAAAGGUUCAAAUUUGUUAGUUGAGCACAACCAUCACAAACAAGUUUCUGAGAAUGCUUCUGUCUAGUUUUUAUGGGAAGAGAUUUCCUUUUUCACCAUAGGCCUCAAAGUGCUCCAAAUGUCCACUUCCAGACACUACAAAAGGAGUAUUUCAAACGUGCUCUAUGAAAGAGAAUGUUGAACUCUGU